UAGGGAAUCUUCGGCAAUGGACGAAAGUCUGACCGAGCAACGCCGCGUGAGUGAAGAAGGUUUUCGGAUCGUAAAACUCUGUUGUUAGAGAAGAACAAGGACGUUAGUAACUGAACGUCCCCUGACGGUAUCUAACCAGAAAGCCACGGCUACCUACGUGCCAGCAGCCGCGGUAAUACGUAGGUGGCAAGCGUUGUCCGGAUUUAUUGGGCGUAAAGCGAGCGCAGGCGGUUUCUUAAGUCUGAUGUGAAAGCCCCCGGCUCAACCGGGGAGGGUCAUUGGAAACUGGGAGACUUGAGUGCAGAAGAGGAGAGUGGAAUUCCAUGGGUAGCGGUGAAAUGCGUAGAUAUAUGGAGGAACACCAGUGGCGAAGGCGGCUCUCUGGUCUGUAACUGACGCUGAGGCUCGAAAGCGUGGGGAGCAAACAGG
rnacentral:rRNA from 1 species